AGUGAACGCUGGCGGCAUGCCUAACACAUGCAAGUCGAACGGCAGCACAGUAAGAGCUUGCUCUUGCGGGUGGCGAGAGGCGGAUGGGUGACGAAUGCAUCGGUAUCUUCUUUUUCGUGGGGGCUAACGAAGGGGAACUAACGCUAAAACCGCACAUGAUAUAAGAGUGGAAGCAGGACCGCAUCGGAGCUUUCGCGUUUGAGUGUGCCGAUGGCGGAUUAGCUAGUUGGCGGGGUAAAGGCCCACCAAGGCGACGAUCCGUAGCUGGUCUGAGAGGAUGAUCAGCCACACUGGAACUGAGACACGGCCCAGACUCCUACGGGAGGCAGCAGUGGGGAAUAUUGGACAAUGGGCGAAAGCCUGAUCCAGCAAUGCCGCGUGGGUGAAGAAGGCCUUCGGGUUGUAAAGCCCUUUUGUUAGGAAAGAAAAGCUGCGAGAUAAUACCCUCAUGUUCUGACGGUACCCAAAGAAUAAGCACCGGCUAACUACGUG
rnacentral:rRNA from 1 species